CGGGGCGUAGCGCAGCCUGGUAGCGCACUUGCAUGGGGUGCAAGGGGUCGGAGGUUCAAAUCCUCUCGCCCCGA
rnacentral:tRNA from 1 species